GACGAACGCUGGCGGCGUGCUUAACACAUGCAAGUCGAACGGUAAGGCCCUUCGGGGUACACGAGUGGCGAACGGGUGAGUAACACGUGGGUGAUCUGCCCUGCACUUCGGGAUAAGCCUGGGAAACUGGGUCUAAUACCGGAUAGGACUCCGGACUGCAUGGUCUGGGGUGGAAAGCUGUUGCGGUGUGGGAUGGGCCCGCGGCCUAUCAGCUUGUUGGUGGGGUGAUGGCCUACCAAGGCGACGACGGGUAGCCGGCCUGAGAGGGUGACCGGCCACACUGGGACUGAGAUACGGCCCAGACUCCUACGGGAGGCAGCAGUGGGGAAUAUUGCACAAUGGGCGCAAGCCUGAUGCAGCGACGCCGCGUGAGGGAUGACGGCCUUCGGGUUGUAAACCUCUUUCAGCACAGACGAAGCGCAAGUGACGGUAUGUGCAGAAGAAGGACCGGCCAACUACGUGCCAGCCGCCGCUGUAA
rnacentral:rRNA from 1 species